GAGCCUGGUAGCUCCAACCUGCAGAGGGGACACGUAGCAGUGGGGCUGGCAGGGUGGUUCCCACUGUGCUCCUCUGCCCAGGCUCGACAACAGCUCAGGGAGGCACUGUGCAACUCUGCGAUGGCUGCAAAGCACAAAGGGGGGCUUGCAGGGGAAAUGCUAAGUCAGGGCUUGAAGCAGUGAUGGAGCACCUGGUGGGAAGGCAGGGCCAGCCCAGGGGAGCUCAGGUGCAUGCAAUGUACCUGAGUGACUGGAAGGGAUGGAGCCAGCAUCCACCCCUUCCCAGACCUCAUUUAAGGGUUGGCAGUGGAAGUGAGGGGAUCUCAAUGGAGAUCCCUGUAUUCCCUAGGCGUUCUGAAGAUCCGGGCCAGCCAGCAAAAGGGCACCGCAAGGAAGAACAAAAGCCUGAGAACAUGGCACGAGGGAGGGGAGGCAGCACCUCCCUGGCGGGGCUCCCCGAGCAAGCCAUGCCCAGCGGCCAUUUUGCAGAGGGAACGAUCUGACCGUUGCACCAAAAGUGAGUGGGAACACGGUAA